rnacentral:rRNA from 1 species
CCUACGGGAGGCAGCAGUGGGGAAUUUUGGACAAUGGGCGAAAGCCUGAUCCAGCAAUGCCGCGUGUGUGAAGAAGGCCUUCGGGUUGUAAAGCACUUUUGUCCGGAAAGAAAUCCUUGACUCUAAUACAGUCGGGGGAUGACGGUACCGGAAGAAUAAGCACCGGCUAACUACGUGCCAGCAGCCGCGGUAAUACGUAGGGUGCGAGCGUUAAUCGGAAUUACUGGGCGUAAAGCGUGCGCAGGCGGUUUGCUAAGACCGAUGUGAAAUCCCCGGGCUCAACCUGGGAACUGCAUUGGUGACUGGCAGGCUAGAGUAUGGCAGAGGGGGGUAGAAUUCCACGUGUAGCAGUGAAAUGCGUAGAGAUGUGGAGGAAUACCGAUGGCGAAGGCAGCCCCCUGGGCCAAUACUGACGCUCAUGCACGAAAGCGUGGGGAGCAAACAGGGUUAGAUACCCUGGUAGUCCACGCCCUAAACGAUGUCAACUAGUUGUUGGGGAUUCAUUUCCUUAGUAACGUAGCUAACGCGUGAAGUUGACCGCCUGGGGAUACGGUCGCAAGNUUAAAACUCAAAGGAAUUGACGG